UCAGCGAGAGAGGAAGGAAAUCCUGAUCUGUAUUCCCAUGUUGAUCGCUUACACGCAGAGGGACGAUGAGGCUAAGCUGGGUUCGAGGGCUGGCUUCUUUUCUGGCCAUGGGCGCUGGAAUACUCUACAUCACAUUCAUUAAGGCGGGAGGUUCAUUCUCAUGGGGAAAGACUGCAGAGGGCCCAUCAGAAUGACUCGGUCAGGGGUCAGGACAUGCUCAAGAGGCUGGAGAAGAUGGAGACUUGACCUGCACCAUGAACAACAUGACCUGCACCAAAGUUGGAUUAGGAUUGUGACCAAGGACUAGAUGAAGUGUAUUUUUAGAGGUCUCACACAGGCCCGCCUCUCAGGGUGGAGGGAAGCUGAAGGAGACGUGGUGGCCAUCUUGGAUGCCCACAUAGAAGUUCACGUGGAAUGGGCGGAGCCUCUGUUAGCGCGGAUAAAGGAGGACCGCACGUUGGUGUUGACACCGGUGUUUGACAAAGUCCAUUUCGAUGACUUGACAGUCACACGUUAUUGGCUGAAUGCAAACGCCUUUGACUGGGCCCUGUGGUGUAUGUACGAGUCCUUCAGACCUGAGUGUUAUGCCCUAAAAGAUGAGUCACAGCCAGGAAAGUGCGUUGUUUGUGAUUUCAUCAUUGGAUGAUAGUCCUGUUUCACAAGUCUGUUUGAAAAGGUGAAAAGGAAACCACAGCUUUGGGAGGAAAAUCUUACCUAAUAUUUACACCGGCAUUGUUAUUUUGCAUUAUCUAUUCAUUAAAAUGAAUGUCACAUCUCCCAUUUUAGAAAUGACCAUUAUGUGUUGUGUAUGUUUGUCAGGAGCCCCUCCAUUAUGAGCAUACUAGUGGUUGAUCGCCUGUUCUUUGGGGAAAUUGGUGCUCUGGAUGGUGGUAUGAAGAUCUAUGGAGGUGAAAAUGUUGAACUGGGCAUCCGGGUGUGGCUGUGUGGUGGAAGUGUCGAGGUCAUACCUUGUUCUAAAAUAGCCCACAUCGAGAGGGCCCAUAAACCCUAUCUCCCAGACCUGAGCAUUACAAUGUAGAGGAAUGCUCUGAGAGUGGCUGAGGUCUGGAUGGAUGAAUACAAACAUAAUGUCAACAUCGCCUGGAACCUCCCACUGAAGGAUUAUGGCAUAGACAUUGGGGAUGUUUCAGAGAGGAAGAAGUUGAGAGGGUCUGAACUGCAAACCCUUCCAAUGGUAUCUGGACAAUGUGUAUCCAAUGUUAGACCCCCUGGGUGACUUGCAUGGUUAUGGAGCUCUGGUCAAUGACCUGAAGAUGGAUCUCUGAAUAGAUCAAGGCCCAGUUCCGGGGAACACACCUAUUUUACAUGGAUGCAAAUAUUUUACUCCACAGGUUUGUAGAAU